rnacentral:rRNA from 1 species
UUAAAAGGAAUUGACGGGGCCCGCACAAGCGGCGGAGCAUGCGGAUUAAUUCGAUGCAACGCGAAGAACCUUACCAAGGCUUGACAUACACCGGUAACGCCCAGAGAUGGGUGCCCCUUUGUGGUCGGUGUACAGGUGGUGCAUGGUUGUCGUCAGCUCGUGUCGUGAGAUGUUGGGUUAAGUCCCGCAACGAGCGCAACCCUCGUCCUAUGUUGCCAGCGGGUCAUGCCGGGGACUCAUGGGAGACUGCCGGGGUCAACUCGGAGGAAGUGGGGAUGACGUCAAAUCAUCAUGCCCCUUAUGUCUUGGGCUUCACGCAUGCUACAAUGGCCGGUACAAAGGGCUGCGAUACCGCGAGGUGGAGCGAAUCCCAGAAAGCCGGUCUCAGUUCGGAUUGGGGUCUGCAACUCGACCCCAUGAAGUCGGAGUCGCUAGUAAUCGCAGAUCAGCAACGCUGCGGUGAAUACGUUCCCGGGCCUU